GGCGUGAGGGCCGCCAAUAGGGGAGCGCGGCGCGGGGACGGCAGGCGCGGCGGCCAGAGCGGCGGGCAGGUUUCUGUGCAUCUUGAGUGAAACCUGCAACAGAGAUGGAUACUGAAGGCUUUGGAGAGCUUCUCCAGCAGGCAGAACAGCUUGCAGCCGAGACAGAAGGCAUCUCUGAGCUCCCUCAUGUAGAACGCAACCUGCAGGAGAUCCAGCAGGCUGGGGAGCGCCUGCGUUCCCGCACUCUGACCCGCACUUCCCAGGAGACUGCAGAUGUUAAGGCGUCUGUUCUUCUCGGGUCUAGAGGGCUUGAUAUAUCUCACAUUUCUCAGCGACUAGAGAGUCUAAGUGCAGCCACUACAUUUGAGCCUCUUGAACCUGUGAAGGACACUGAUAUCCAGGGAUUCCUGAAGAACGAAAAAGAUAAUGCAUUGCUGUCAGCCAUUGAAGAGUCUAGGAAGAGGACUUUUGCUAUGGCUGAGGAGUAUCACCGAGAAUCAAUGCUGGUUGAAUGGGAACAGGUGAAACAAAGGAUUCUUCAUACUCUGCUUGCAUCAGGGGAAGAUGCUCUCGAUUUCACGCAAGAAAGUGAGCCUAGCUACGUUGGUGAGUUGGGUCCUCCAGGUCGCAGCUCUUUGGACAAUGUGGAGAUGGCGUAUGCUCGUCAGAUUUAUAUUUAUAAUGAGAAGAUAGUGAAUGGACAUCUGCAGCCUAACCUGGUGGACCUUUGCGCUGCUGUUGCAGAACUGGAUGAUAAGAACAUCUCUGAGAUGUGGGCCAUGGUGAAACAAAUGACCGAUGUUACCCUGGUUCCUGCUAGCGAUGCCUUGAAAGUCCGGACCAACAUGGAGGUGCGUAUGGAGUUCGUGAGGCAGGCUCUGCACUACCUAGAACAAAGUUACAAAAAUUACACCUUUGUGACAGUCUUUGGAAACUUGCACCAGGCUCAGCUGGGUGGAGUCCCAGGGACCUACCAACUAGUCCGCAGCUUCUUGAACAUCAAACUCCCUGCACCUGUUCCUGGUCUCCAGGAUGGUGAGGUGGAAGGCCAUCCUGUCUGGGCACUGAUUUACUACUGCAUGCGCUGUGGAGAUUUGACUGCAGCCAUGCACGUGGUGAAACGGGCACAGCACCAGCUCGGAGAGUUUAAAACCUGGUUCCAGGAGUACAUGCACAGUAAAGAUAAAAGACUAUCUCCUGCCACAGAAAAUAAACUGCGUCUUCAUUACAGACGAGCUCUGAGAAAUAAUACGGACCCGUACAAAAGGGCUGUUUAUUGUAUUAUUGGCCGUUGUGACAUUACAGAUAACCAGAGUGAAGUUGCUGAUAAAACAGAAGAUUAUCUUUGGCUAAAACUGAACCAAGUGUGUUUUGACGACAAUGGUGCAGGUUCUCCACAAGACCGACUAACAUUAUCACAGUUCCAGAAGCAGCUGCUAGAAGACUAUGGUGAAUCACAUUUUGCAAUGAACCAGCAGCCUUUCCUCUAUUUCCAAGUAUUGUUCUUGACAGCACAGUUUGAAGCUGCAAUUGCUUUUCUCUUCCGGACAGAGCGCUUGCGUUGUCAUGCUGUUCAUGUUGCGUUGGUCCUGUUUGAGUUAAAAUUGCUCCUGAAAUCUUCUGGUCAGAGUGCACAGCUAUUAAGCCAUGAGGCUGGUGACCCUCCUGGCGUCAGGCGUCUAAAUUUUGUGCGGCUUUUGAUGCUUUACACCCGUAAGUUUGAAUCAACAGAUCCAAGGGAAGCUCUGCAGUAUUUUUACUUUCUCAGGAAUGAGAAGGACAGCCAAGGAGAGAAUAUGUUCUUGCGCUGCGUUAGUGAACUAGUAAUUGAAAGCAGAGAGUUUGAUAUGAUUCUUGGAAAGCUGGAAAACGAUGGUAGUAGGAAGCCUGGAGUGAUAGACAAGUUUACAAGUGACACAAAACCCAUUAUUAACAAAGUGGCUUCUGCAGCAGAAAAUAAAGGAUUGUUUGAAGAAGCUGCAAAACUCUAUGACCUUGCAAAGAACCCUGACAAAGUUUUAGAACUGAUGAACAAGCUCCUCAGUCCUGUCGUUCCCCAGAUUGGCACUCCCCAGUCAAAUAAAGAGCGUUUGAAGAAUAUGGCUCAUUCCAUUGCUGAGAGGUACAAAGCUCAGGGGAUAAGUGCAAAGAAAUCCGUUGACUCCACGUUCUACCUUCUGCUAGACUUAAUCACGUUUUUUGAUGAAUAUCACGCUGGUCACAUUGACAGGGCCUUUGAUAUUAUUGAACGCCUAAAGCUUGUACCUCUUAGCCAAGAUUGCGUAGAGGAAAGAGUUGCUGCCUUCCGGAAUUUCAGCGAUGAAAUCAGGCACAAUUUAUCUGAGGUCCUGCUUGCCACCAUGAAUAUUUUAUUCACCCAGUAUAAGAGGAUGAAAGGCACAAGCCCAGCCACUCCUGCCAGACCCCAGCGGGUAAUGGAAGACAGGGAUUCGCAACUUCGAUCUCAAGCUCGUGCACUGAUAACGUUUGCUGGAAUGAUCCCUUACAGAACAUCAGGAGACACGAACGCAAGACUGGUGCAAAUGGAGGUCCUUAUGAAUUAGCAGAGAAGCUUUUGCUUAGGGUUGCAGCAACCGAUGCCUGUCUUUAGUAUGUUCAGAGGGUGGGACCAGUAUCAUUUUGUAUUCUGUAUUUUUGUUGAUGGAAAUAAAUUUCUUUGAUUUCUAUUUGUUUUUGACAUUUUCAUUUUCACUGAUUUUUGCGUUUUUAUGUUUUUAUUCAUUUUAUUUUAAAUUGGUUUAUAUUUAGAAAAUUAUUCUUAAUUAGUUAUUGGGCUAUGCAGAGAAAGAAGUUGUGGAUCUGCAGUAGGGAGGUGAAUGAGCAAUUCUAUAGUAGAAGAGGAAGUGGAGAAGAAAACUUUGAUUUAAUGCUCGCUGAACAUACAGCUUAGAAAUUUUAGGGUUUUUUGUUUUUUGAAUGCAUGUUAAAUGUUGAAAAGCUGUUUAUGAUACACCACACACAUGACACUGCUGUCAGUCCAUAAUGUUGUCUUGUGUGGCGUAUGUGUUUAUGCAGUGCAAAUGAGCUCAGUGUGCUGCAGAGACUUCUUUCGCUUAACGAAGUUUAAACUCUUGGGUCAGUGUCUCAGAUGUACACAGCUCUGCAAAUCCUGGAGCUCAGUUGAAGCUUUUGCAGGAGCAGCUGGGAUUGGAAACAGGUAUAUUUUAGUAGGAGAGAUUUUUGUGAUCGACACGUGAGUUUUUAGCCAGGUGCAUCCAUAAAUGAUCCCAUAUCGAGUUCACCAGAAGUAAGGAAGCUGAGCAGAGAAGUCCAAGUGUGGAUGCAUUGGGCACGGGUGGAUAUUACUUUUGCUUUAGUGGGAAACCUGCAUCCCAUUGAAGCGAGGGGCAUUAAAAAAUGGUUAGCUUUAAAUGUUUUGAGCUACAAUUAAAUCGGUGUGAAAGCCCAGGAGCAUGUUACAGUAUAAGCUUUUUCUCUUUAAUAUAGCUGCCUAUCUUUGAAAGGAAAUGGGAGGAAUGUUGGUGGUUGCUCUUACUGUUCUCUCUGUACGUGCCCUUCUGCACUGCUGCUGUCUUGCCCUCACACCGUUUGUGUUACUGGGAUGUGAGAACACAUACAGUUCUGGAUACAGAACGGGCAACAAAACGUAGGGGCUGAUUUCAGCCUUUGCAUGUUCAUAGCUAGCGUGGGAGAGAAUUCAUCUCCAUUUUGCAAUGUCUAAGCUUAACGGCAUAGAGGGAUAUUUGACUGACUUGAUGACCAUUUCCUAAUUACUUUUUCCACUAGAAAUGCUGUAGCAUAAAUUUGUCAGCCUUUUGGACAGGAAGCAAAGGGGUGGUUUGCUGAGCCACCCAAACCCAUGUGUCUCAGCAUUAGCAAACUGGCUGCUGGGGCUCCCGGGCAAUAGAACUAGGGAUUGUGUAUGGCACUGAGUGGUCCCAUAGCAUGUUCAAGAUUGUUUCAACUGGAGGAGACCUGGACAACACCCUGCAAGUAAAGGGGAUUUGGUGAGUUACCUGGGGAGGGGAAUUGAGUUGCCUAGCAAAAUGUCAACCGGUGAGCGUGGAAAGCUUUAUUAGCUAUUAACAUUUCUGGCAUAUUCGUGUGGGAAUGCUUCUUGGUAUGUCUCAGUUGACAAUUCAUCCAGUCCCCUGGAGAACAGGUUACCAAAAAGUAGGUGGCAGAGCAAGGCAUCUUCCUGAUACUUGCAAACAGUCCUCGUUGGGCCAGGAUUGCCCCACGUACAGUCCUGCAGGAUAAACCCUGCUCUUGUGUUUUCCUUGCUGGCACUCGGCCCCUGUCCCUGGGUUACUCCUAGCAUCAAACCACCUCAUGUACAGAGAGGCUGGCGAGUCUGUACCUGUCCUCAGGCAACUGCUGACCAGAGCAAGAGAGGGACAGCGUCUGCCGGAGUCUAUUCAGGAAGGGUGAAGGCCACCUUCCCUGCUGUAAUUCCUUCUCCCCGCUCCACCCCUCAUGUGGGGACAGAAGUCCUUUGGGGCUCAGCUUACUGCUGCCAUUUGCAGGACCUUAUUCUCCUGUCUUUUGCCCAUCCCCUGCUCAGCUGAGCUGUUGUGCUGCCUCACUGGCAUGUUUCUGAUGUCAAAUGUUGGACCUAGGGACCUUUUAGAAACAGCAAGUUGCCCUUUCUCUGUCUGCCCUUUGAGGACAGCUGUAGCAGAUGCUUCCUAGUGCUUCUUAGCCUUCAUGGGUGUUAGUAAAAGAGAAAAGUGACGGCCAGAUGUAGUUUGCUCCCUUUGUGCUCAGUGGUUGUGACUUCAGCCUCUGAUCCUGCCGAACCCAGGACAGGUCCCUUCUAAGCUAAACAGAAACUGAAUUAUUUCAUACUUUCAAAAGCCAAGAUAGUCCUUCUGUGAUGGACAGACAGAGGAAAUAAACCCCAGGGAGUCAAAGCCCUGAGACUAACCCUGGAAAGGUAAGAGCCCUGUUUCAAGAUGUGAGAGGUUGUGGGUAUAACAGAAGGUGUCACAGAUAGUUGGAAUUAAAUUAUUUCCUGUUGAUUGCCCUGUGAUUUCUUCUUAGGUCUGUGCAGGUGGUGAGUGUUGCAGCCCAUCCAUCUUCCCGUGUUCCCAAGAGCGGCGGGUUCCAGCUCUGUGCCUAGGCCUGGCUUUGACAAACCUGGGUCUCCUCUGCACGACUUCAAGGGCUUUGCUGCAUUGAGACCGUCUGGCUGGAGUAGACCUGCUAAAUGAGGUGGCUUCUCUGUUUUCCACAACGGUCUCCCACCACUGCUGGGUUUGUCUAAGACAGCCCUUGGAUCUUGUUGCUUGCAGGAGCUGAAGGAAUCGUGUUCAGAAAAAAUGAAUUUAAUUUUUUUGUUCUUGUUACCCUUUCAACACUUGUCUCCCCAACCUUAAUAAACCCCAGCCUCUCAAGGAAGCAAGCUGUUUUCCUUCCAGCCUGGAGGAAAGAAGGGGAUACUGUUAAUUCCAGUUCUGUGUCCCUGGGGUGGGACAGUGCUCAAAUACUGCUGCUGUUCGUGUCCCUGUACCAGUAUUUUUGUCCUGUUUCUGUCUGGGUCUGAGGUUGGAAGGAUGGAAAUGGUGUCUGGAAGAGGAUGGGAGAUGAUCCCUUUGCCCACACUGCGUAAGGUUGCUGGCAGUUUUCUGAAUAACCAUCUUAUUUUCCCUUCCCAAGCUUCCUUCCCUGCAGUGCCAAGAAACUGAGUCCUGCUCCGUGCGGUGGGUUUGCAGUGCUGAGCCCCUGCUUCGUCUGCGUGGCCCCUGUCAUCCAGGGUGGUAGGUUCCCUCUUCCACAGGGAUGGAAACAGGAUAGUUAAAACUUCAUUAAAGGCCUAUCAGAAUAUAGUGCUUUGGCAAACUUUAAAAGAAGCCGUAUGUAAAGCAUUGCACUAUUCUCUGCCUAACUCGAUUCAGGUUCAUUUGAUGCAUUUAAUGGGCAGGAUGAAGUGGGGGAUCGGCUGGAAGCGAGGGAAAGCCCUGCAGAAGCAGCUUGGCACCUCUUCACUGCGUGAGCGGAGGAGCUGGAGGGAUGUGCCGCAGAGCUCUCCACUCCUGCUCCCAGCGCCGGACGGCCCCGGUAUUGUUGCUGCAGCUGGUGUUGUGAAUCAGGCCGACGACAAGCGCAUCCUACUAUCCGGCUAUUUCACUACACCAGGGUUGCAUCAUACCACUCGCUUCGCUCUUCGCCCGGCGUCUGGAGUCCUCCUGUCCCUCCCGGAGCAUUUUUGACUGCGCUGUGUUUAACAGAUACACACCCACACCUGUUUAAGAGACUCCGUGAUUUGUGCUGGUUUGGGCAAGGUAGCACUUUUGAUCAAAUAAUGAGGUUCUAAAAUAAAGCCAUUUCUGCUGGG